CUAGGGAGGCUUGAUUUCCUCAGAGACAUCUCUUCUAGUUUCAGUCUCCCACCCUGGGGAUAGAGCCAUGGAAGCUGACCAAGUAUGAGCUACUAAAUGCUGGCUACAAGAAGUGCGAUGAAUACAUUGAAGCCCUGAACACAGGCAAGCUGCAGCAGCAGCCAGGCUGCACUGCUGAGGAGACACUAGAGGCCCUGAUCCUGAAGGUGCUGUCUGUGAUCCAGGACCACCCUAGCAGAGCCUGCCUCCAAGAGCUAGACAAGAGCAACAGUUCCUUCACCAUGGCCCUGUGUGGCUCCAAAGGCAAGGUCUUUCUCAGCUGCCCAAACUGGCCUUGAAUAUGUUCUGCAGCCAGGCA